UACGUAGGGUGCAAGCGUUAAUCGGAAUUACUGGGCGUAAAGCGUGCGCAGGCGGUUUUGUAAGACAGAGGUGAAAUCCCCGGGCUCAACCUGGGAACUGCCUUUGUGACUGCAAGGCUUGAGUGCGGCAGAGGGGGGUGGAAUUCCGCGUGUAGCAGUGAAAUGCGUAGAGAUGCGGAGGAACACCGAUGGCGAAGGCAGCCCCCUGGGCCAACACUGACGCUCAGGCACGAAAGCGUGGGGAGCAAACAGG
rnacentral:rRNA from 1 species